rnacentral:rRNA from 1 species
AUUGAACGCUAGCGGGAUGCUUUACACAUGCAAGUCGAACGGCAGCGCGGACUUCGGUCUGGCGGCGAGUGGCGAACGGGUGAGUAAUGUAUCGGAACGUGCCCAGUAGCGGGGGAUAACUACGCGAAAGCGUAGCUAAUACCGCAUACGCCCUACGGGGGAAAGCAGGGGAUCGUAAGACCUUGCACUAUUGGAGCGGCCGAUAUCGGAUUAGCUAGUUGGUGAGGUAACGGCUCACCAAGGCGACGAUCCGUAGCUGGUUUGAGAGGACGACCAGCCGCACUGGGACUGAGACACGGCCCAGACUCCUACGGGAGGCAGCAGUGGGGAAUUUUGGACAAUGGGGGCAACCCUGAUCCAGCCAUCCCGCGUGUGCGAUGAAGGCCUUCGGGUUGUAAAGCACUUUUGGCAGGAAAGAAACGUCGCGGGCUAAUACCCCGUGGAACUGACGGUACCUGCAGAAUAAGCACCGGCUAACUACGCG